CAAAAGAUAUGUGGUUUAGAACACAAAAGUUAAGUUUCUUGAAAUGUUGAGCACUCCAUUGUUGCUUGCUGUGUUGCUGGGUUUAAGGUUCAUGCAGGGUAUACCCCGAUAACAGACCGGGACCCUAGAAUCAGUAAUAUUUUAUAGUCACCGAAACCGGAAUUGAUGAAGAGAUGUUUCCAUUGUUGUUCAAUUCUUUCUUUAGCCCCCAAGACUAACACCAUUUGCAUAUCCAUUAGGAACUGGGAUUGAGAGUGAUUUAGGAAGUAGUCCUCCAGUUGGCUCCUUGCCAAAGUCCUUCCCUCCAUUUCAGCAUCCAAGUCAUCAGUUACUUGAGGAAAAUGGCUUCAAACAGCAGAAGUACCUGAAGUACCAAAAGAAUUGUCUGAAUGACCGAAAGAAGUUAGGAACAGGUUGCAGUGAGGAAAUGAAUACUCUAUAUAGAUUCUGGUCAUAUUUCCUUCGAGAUGUAUUUGUUCCUUCAAUGUACAACGAGUUCCGGAAAGCUGCUAAUUACCAUUAUGGACUGGAAUGUUUGUUCAGGUUCUAUAGCUAUGGAUUGGAGAAGGAAUUAAGAGAUGACCUAUAUGGGGAUUUUGAGCAGCUCUCUCUCACUUUCUACAAGAAAGGCAAUCUUUAUGGCCUGGAAAAAUACUGGUACGUCUGCUAAUUUAAUAUGUUAUGGUUAUUUCGGGAUUUAUACUUAAAUUAUAUAUAGGUUCUGUUUGAUUUGACAAAAAACACUUUUCCCGAAAAUGAUUUUCCCAUUUUCCUUUCUUUCUUUUGUUCAUGGAUGUGGAAAACAACUUACUUAAGGUGGAACACCUAUAUCGACCCAAAUGACCAAUAGGCGUACAUAACGAACUUGAAAUGAGUCUUAUAAAUAUAUAACUAAUCAUAUGAAUCAUGAAAAACGUUUAGAAUGUGGAAAUAGGUUCAUUUGUUGGUGGUUAGGAUCGAAAAUGACAUUUUUGGCAAUAAAUGACCUAUAUCGACCCAAAUGACCCAUAGGCGUGCAUAACGAACUCGAAAUGAGUUUCAUAAACAUAUAACUAAUCAUAUGAAUCAUCAAAAAGGUUUAGAAUGUGGAAAUAGGUUCGUUUGUUAGUAGUUGGGAUCGAAAAUGCCAUUUUUGGCCAUAAAUGGCCUAUAUCGACCCAAAUGACCCAUAGGCGUUCAUAACGAACAUGAAAUGGGUCUUAUAAUCAUAUAAAUAAUCAUAUGAAUCAUGAAAAACGUUUAAAAUAUGGAAAUAGGUUCGUUUGUUGGCAGUUGGGAUCAAAAAUGCCAAUUUUUGGCCAUAAAUGAUCUAUAUCGACCCAAAUGACCCUUA